rnacentral:rRNA from 1 species
GAUGAACGCUGGCGGCGUGCCUAAUACAUGCAAGUCGAGCGAACAGAUGAGGAGCUUGCUCCUCUGACGUUAGCGGCGGACGGGUGAGUAACACGUGGAUAACCUACCUAUAAGACUGGGAUAACUUCGGGAAACCGGAGCUAAUACCGGAUAAUAUAUUGAACCGCAUGGUUCAAUAGUGAAAGACGGUUUUGCUGUCACUUAUAGAUGGAUCCGCGCCGCAUUAGCUAGUUGGUAAGGUAACGGCUUACCAAGGCAACGAUGCGUAGCCGACCUGAGAGGGUGAUCGGCCACACUGGAACUGAGACACGGUCCAGACUCCUACGGGAGGCAGCAGUAGGGAAUCUUCCGCAAAGGGCGAAAGCCUGACGGAGCAACGCCGCGUGAGUGAUGAAGGUCUUCGGAUCGUAAAACUCUGUUAUUAGGGAAGAUCAAAUGUGUAAGUAACUAUGCACGUCUUGACGGUACCUAAUCAGAAAGCCACGGCUAACUACGUG